GACGGAGGGUGCAAGCGUUGUUCGGAAUCAUUGGGCGUAAAGGGUACGUAGGCGGCCAUGCAAGUCGGGUGUGAAAUCCCAGGGCUCAACCCUGGAGGUGCGCUCGAAACUGUGUGGCUUGAGUCCGAGAGAGGGUUGCGGAAUUGCCAGUGUAGAGGUGAAAUUCGUAGAUAUUGGCAAGAACACCAGCGGCGAAGGCGGCAACCUGGAUCGAGACUGACGCUGAGGUACGAAAGCGUGGGGAGCAAACAGG
rnacentral:misc_RNA from 1 species